UACGUAGGGGGCAAGCGUUGUCCGGAAUCAUUGGGCGUAAAGGGUGCGUAGGUGGCCCGGUCAGUUCGUGGUGAAAGCGCGGGGCUCAACCCUGCGUCGGCCAUGAAUACUGCCGCGGCUGGAGCACUGUAGAGGCAGGCGGAAUUCCGGGUGUAGCGGUGGAAUGCGUAGAGAUCCGGAAGAACACCGGUGGCGAAGGCGGCCUGCUGGGCAGUUGCUGACGCUGAGGCACGGAAGGUCAGGGGAGCGAAAGCGGG
rnacentral:rRNA from 1 species